UACGUAGGGGGCAAGCGUUGUCCGGAUUUAUUGGGCGUAAAGAGCUCGUAGGCGGCUCAGUAAGUCAGGUGUGAAAACUCCAGGCUCAACCUGGAGACGCCACCUGAUACUGCUGUGGCUAGAGUCCGGUAGGGGAGCAUGGAAUUCCUGGUGUAGCGGUGAAAUGCGCAGAUAUCAGGAGGAACACCAGUGGCGAAGGCGGUGCUCUGGGCCGGAACUGACGCUGAGGAGCGAAAGCGUGGGGAGCAAACAGG
rnacentral:rRNA from 1 species